UUGUCAAAAAAAUUCAUUGAACUUUAUAUGUAUCACACACAAAAUGCUGUGUGCACAUGAUACCUCAAUUCAAAGGGUAAGCGUAUUAAUAAGAAUAGUAACAAAAUCUGCAAAAAAGUAGCAAAUUAAAUAAAAUGAUGUGAUAGUAGGAGCAUGGAUAUCUUUUUUGACCAGCUUGUCCCAGGAGUAUCUUACUUUGAAUGACUCCAAGAGAUCUGGGUUAUAGUUGAGCUUUAACCAAUGUGUUUUGAGACAAAUCUAAAGAAUAACAAAUAAUUUUCAUAAAGGAUCUAAUUAGUUGUCUUUCUUAAUUAUUGAUUGAUCCAUCUUGUAGAUUAGGGACCCAUCUCACCUGGUGAGAUUAGCAUAUGAGAAUAAUAACUUUGCAGUGAGGGACCAAGAAUGACUAAAGUAGGGACAUACUGGAGUCAUGGAAACUGGUUAGGAGAUACAGGGAUCUCAGGGAUACAGGUAAAAGUCUGAGAAGGCCAGAACUAAGUUGGUGGUAGAAGAAAGAGAGAAGAGGAUUACAUGAGGGUUGAAAGGGGAGAAAUGGCAGGACCUCAAACCUGGCUGGUUGUGGGGUAGAGGGAGAGGGUUAAUCUUCAAUGGCCUGACUUAGGCAACUGGAUGAACUGUCAUGUAAAAAAAUAUGGAAACAGUGGAACAGUAGAUUUGGUGAAGAUAAUGAAUGUACCUCCUUCUUGAGCUCCAUAGCCCAUGGGAUUGAGCAUAGUCAGGAACAAAUGUGUGUGCUUCAGGUGGGGCGUGGUGGUGAGAGGUUGGGAGACAAUUCUUUUCAGCAGUGACAAUUAUUGAGCCUCAAAAGAAGAGAAAAAUCUCCACAUGAAUGAUGAAUUCUGGAAGGAGAUUUGGCUAAAUUUAAAAGAUAACAUUUUUGUUUUUGCCAAGAAGAAACUGCAGAAGACAGGCAUUGGUCCUGACUAAGAUUAAAGCACCAGAUGACCAGUGAAGGGCGGCUGGUAGAGCUGGCAAAGAGUAGCAGUCAGGAUGUCUUAGCCUGAUGAAUUACCACGUCAUGGGAAAGAAAUGCACCUCACUCAGAAAUACACAGAGGGUCUCUUUCUGGAAGUUCUAUGCCUCAGCACUCCACAGAGGCUGGGUGCAACCAGGGUGGAGCUGGCUAGAGCGGCAGCAGUGGAAGAAAAUGGAGACAACAAUCUUGGCAUCACACCUUGUUUCUGCCAUUAGCUGGUGUUAUGAUCCUUGACAAGUCAUUUAAAUUUGUGUUACCUUAAUCCUCUGUGAAAAAAGGGUAAAAUGUGAAGCAAUUGUAAUUUUGACAGCCUGUACAGUCAAGGAGAAAAUGCACCAGAUUUUGAGGGGUGUGGAGGGCUCCAUGGAGGAGGUGGUAUAAAAACUAAAAUCAUUUUUCAGAUCUUAGUUCCUUUAAGUGUUCGGUUAGCUGAAGGAAAGGUAAGAAAGCAGCGUGAGGGGAACAGGUCCAAGUAGAGGAAACAGUAUGAAUAAAAGCUUUAAGCCAAGAAAUAGAAUAAUACCUUCAGGAAGACUAUUAAGUAAUAGGAUAUGACUUCUAGAGCAUAAAUAGGUGAAAGAAAUGUACUUCUUCAGUCCCUGCAAUCAUCCUUUAAAGUAGAUAUUAAUGUUCACAUAUAAAAGAAGAAACUGAAAUUCAGAACGGUUACUUGGUUGAAAUCACAUAUCUUAUAAGUAGACAAACUAGUGGGGUCUGUGUGCUCCAAAUCAUGUUUUAACUAUUGAUUUUAUCAAUUCCCUACAUUAAUAUAUUUAGAUGGGUGAGUGGGUACAGUAGUAAUGAAAGCAUACUUUUCUCAAUGUAUCUGGCAGGUUACAUUUUGAAAGCCUCAACCUAAACAAACAAACAAAAAUUACAGUGAAAAACAAAUGUAAUAUGUGUGGGUUAUUAGCUAUAUAAUGUUUGAACCAGAAACAUAAGGAAGCAAAAUUUGCUUGUCAAAACAGUCAAAGAGAUCAAUGAGUCACUAACCCUUGUUUUGUCUUAGUAAUUUAUGAUAUCCUUUAGAAACUGUCUCAUAUUAAAGCAUAAUUAACACAGAUAAGAUUUGGUAGCCCUGAUUAUUUAUUACAAAUGUACAAAAAAAA